UACAGAGGUCUCAAGCGUUGUUCGUAUUCAUUGGGCGUAAAGGGUGCGUAGGUGGCGGGGCAAGUCAGGUGUGAAAUCUCGGGGCUCAACCCCGAAACUGCACUUGAUACUGCUUUGCUCGAGUACUGGAGAGGAGACUGGAAUUUACGGUGUAGCAGUGAAAUGCGUAGAUAUCGUAAGGAAGACCAGUGGCGAAGGCGAGUCUCUGGACAGUUACUGACACUGAGGCACGAAGGCCAGGGGAGCAAACGGG
rnacentral:rRNA from 1 species